AUGCUGCUCCAGGAAAUCAAAAAUGAUCGUGGUGGAGAAGACCCAAACCAGAAAGUAAUCAAUGGGGUUAUCGACUCCUUUGUUCGUGUUGAACAGUAUAAGAAAAAAUUUUCCUUAAAGUUUUAUCAGGAAAUAUUUGAGUCCCCCUUUCUGACUGAAACAGGAGAGUAUUAUAAAUAAGAAGCUUCAAAUUUAUUACAAAUACCAAACUGUUCACAGUAUAUGGAAACGGUUCUAGGUAGAUUAAAAGAGGAAGAAAUUCGAUGUCAAAAAUACUUAAAUGUAAGUUCAUAUACUAAAGUGACACAUGAAUGUCAGCAACGAAUGGUAGCAGACCACUUACAGCUCUUAUAUGCAGAAUGUCACAAUAUCAUUCUACAAGAGAAGAAAAAUGACAUGGCAAAUAUGUAUGUCUUACUCUGUGCUGUGUCCACUGGUUUACCUCAUAUGAUCCAAGAGCUGUAAAACCAUAUCCAUGAUGAGGGCCUUAGAGCAACCAGUAACCUUACUCAGGAAAAUAUGCCAACUCUAUUUGUGGAAUCAGUUUUGGAAAUUUGUUCAACUUAUUAACACCGUAAUAGUGAUCAGCAUUUCACGAGUGCAUUGUAUAAGGCCCUUACAUCAUUUGUAAAUUACAGAGAACCCAAGUCUGUUUGCAAAGCACCUGAACUGCUUGCUCAGUACUGUGACAACUUACUAAAGAAAUCAGCAAAAGGGAUGACAGAGAAUGAAGUGGAAGACAAACUCACAAGCUUCAUCAUGGUUUUCAAGUAUAUUGAUGAUAAAGAUGUUUUUCAAAAGUUCUACGCAAGAAUGCUGGCAAAACGUCUAAUUCAUGGGUUAUCUAUGUCUAUGGAUUCUGAAGAAGCCAUGAUCAAUAAACAAAAGCAAGCCUGUGGUUAUGAGUUUACUAGCAAGCUACAUCAGAUUUAUACAGAUAUGAGUGUCAGUGCUGAUCUCAACAAUAAGUUCACCAAUUUUAUCAAAAAUCAAGACACAGUAAUAGAUUUGGGAAUUAGUUUUCGAAUAUAUGUUUUACAGGCUGGUGCAUGGCCUCUAACUCAGGCUCCUUCAUCUACAUUUGUGAUUCCCCAGUAAUUAGAGAAAAGUGUACAGAUGUUUGUAUUAUUUUACAGCCAGCAUUUCAGUGGAAGGAAACUGACAUGGUUACAUUAUCUGUGUACAGGUGAGGUUAAAAUGAGCUAUUUGGGCAAAUCAUUCAUAGCCAUGGUCACAACAUACCAAAUGGAAGUCCUUCUUGCCUUUAACAACAAUGAAAUGGUCAGCUAUAAAGAGCUUCAAGACAGCACUCAGAUGAAUGAAAAGGAACUGACAAAAACAAUCAAAUCAUUGCUUGAUGUGAAAAUGAUUAACCAUGAUUCAGAAAAGGAAGACAUCGAUGCAGAAUCUUCAUUUUCAUUAAAUAUGAACUUUAACAGUAAAAGAACAAAAUUUAAAAUCACUACAUCUAUGCAGAAAGACACCCCACAGGACAUGGAGCAGACUAGAAGAAGUGCUGUCGAUGAAGAACAGAAAAUGUAUCUCCAAGCUGCUAUAUCGUAUCAUGAAAGCACGAAAAGUGCCUCCAUAAUUUGGUCAUUCGGCAGCCUCUGUUUUUCUGCUGUUUACAACAUCACCAGUGCCACGUCAUGA